GACGAACGCUGGCGGCGUGCUUAACACAUGCAAGUCGAACGGAAAGGCCCUGCUUUUGUGGGGUGCUCGAGUGGCGAACGGGUGAGUAACACGUGAGUAACCUGCCCUUGACUUUGGGAUAACUUCAGGAAACUGGGGCUAAUACCGGAUAGGAGCUCCUGCUGCAUGGUGGGGGUUGGAAAGUUUCGGCGGUUGGGGAUGGACUCGCGGCUUAUCAGCUUGUUGGUUGGGUAGUUGCUUACCAAGGCUGUGACGGGUAGCCGGCCUGAGAGGGUGACCGGCCACAUGGGGACUGAGAUACGGCCCAGACUCCUACGGGAGGCAGCAGGGGGGAAUAUUGCACAAUGGGCGGAAGCCUGAUGCAGCAACGCCGCGGGCGGGAUGACGGCCUGCGGGUUGUAAACCGCUUUCGCCUGUGACGAAGCGUGAGUGACGGUAAUGGGUAAAGAAGCACCGGCUAACUACGUG
rnacentral:rRNA from 1 species